rnacentral:tRNA from 1 species
GCGCACCCCUGAUAAGGGUGAGGUCGGCAGUUCGAAUCUGCCCAGACCCACCA